rnacentral:rRNA from 1 species
AAGUCAGACAAGUGCACCCGCUGAAUUUAAGCAUAUAAGUAAGCGGAGG